rnacentral:sRNA from 1 species
UGUUUCAGCCCAAUCAUGUUGGAAUCAUCAACAUUGCAUUUUCUCCAAGGAAGGCUGUGGAAAAGAAAGCUGAGUUUAUCAGGAGUGUGUGUAUGGCCAAGUAUGGAGCAGCACCUUACGUCAAGAUCAAUGGGCAUGUCAAUGCCACUUUCCCGUACAUACAGCCACCUCUUGAUUACAUCCUGGGGGAGAUUCUAAAGAAUGCUAUGAGAGCAUCAGUUGAGUCACAUCUAAAUGGUGCUGGUAUUCCAGACAUCAAUGUGACCAUAGCAAAUAAUGACCACCACUUUGUUUUCAGG